AUUGAACGCUGGCGGCAGGCCUAACACAUGCAAGUCGAACGGCAGCGGGGGAUAGCUUGCUAUCCUGCCGGCGAGUGGCGGACGGGUGAGUAAUGCAUGGGGAGCUGCCCAGUCGAGGGGGAUAACAACUGGAAACGGUUGCUAAUACCGCAUACGCCCUGCGGGGGAAAGGUGGGGACCUUCGGGCCUACCGCGAUUGGAUGCACCCAUGUGGGAUUAGCUGGUUGGUGAGGUAACGGCUCACCAAGGCGACGAUCUCUAGCUGGUCUGAGAGGAUGACCAGCCACACUGGAACUGAGACACGGUCCAGACUCCUACGGGAGGUAGCAGUGGGGAAUAUUGCACAAUGGGGGAAACCCUGAUGCAGCCAUGCCGCGUGUGUGAAGAAGGCCUUCGGGUUGUAAAGCACUUUCAGUGGGGAGGAAGGGGAGUAAGCUAAUAACUUGCUUCAUUGACGUUACCCACAGAAGAAGCACCGGCUAACUCCGUGCCAGCCGCCGCAGUAAAAC
rnacentral:rRNA from 1 species